GCCCCACCUUUUACUGGUCCUAUGUAUAUGCCAUCUACGUUUGGUGGCCCACCUGCCUAUGGUGGUUUCGGGAGGAUGAGAGGAGCAGCAGCUCCAGUUGUGAUUAAUACAGAGCGACAUCUAUUUCAUUCAGAGAUUUUGGAUCGUCAAGUUUAUGAAAAGAAACGGAAGUUAUCAAAUCUGAAUAUGAGUGGACAGUCCGAUGAUGAUGAUGAUGAUGAUGAUGAUUAUCUUCAUAUUAAGAAAAGGUGUCACUUGAGUGAGGAAGAAAGAUCAGAUGACCGUAGAUCUCAUAUCAGUAGGGAAAGGAGUGUAAGCUGUUCUGAGGAAAGCAUUUUGCGUAGGUUACACAAGAGACACUUCAUGACACUAAUUUGGACAAUGGCACGUACUCUGUUGAUGAGAAACAUGAGAAAAAUCCCCAUUCCUCAAUUUCUGGUAGAGAAUGGAGGCCACAUCACUCAGAGAGAAGUUCAGAAGUUGAGAAUAUCCCCAUUGGUUCCAGCUGGAAAAGUGAUAUGAGGCAAAAAGAACAGAGCAGAAACUCUAAAAAGCACAGUGCAAGAAGGGAGCAGUGUUGCAGUGAUUCUAGUUGUGUUCGCCAUCCAAGUAACAAAGAGAAAGAGGUUGAAAGAAAGAGAGUGAAGUCUGAUGUCAAAAAACAUGAACAGAAACAUAGCAGCCGCUCAGAUUCUGGUUUGGAACCAAGCUGUCCUGGUGAUAUAAAAAAACAACUAAAAGAGAGAGAUUUCAGUAAUGUGUCAGGGCAUUCUCGGCACAAUUCAAGGUCUAUGGACAAUCAGCCAAGUCAUGAUAGGUGGCUGAUGGUCAGGGGGUCGGAUGAAAAUUAUGCUGAAGACUUUCGUUAUAAAAAACGAAAAAGAGUUUACUAAUCGAAACAACAGGCCUGAUGUUUUGAGCUUGAGCUGUGGAGGCUAGCAAACAAAGGUUUUAAGUUGAGGAGCAAUGGUAAGUAUAUUUUAUGUUUCAGACACAUCAAAACAUGCUGAACUUCUUUUUGCAGAGAUGGCUGAUGCUGGUAAAGGUAUGUUUCCCUUUCAGAAGAGAGAAAAGAAAAAUUAAGUGAAAAGUUUAUUCUUUUUCCUGGGAAUAUAUCAUUCCCCUACUGCAGAAUGAGCUGCACAUUCAUGCUAUAACAUGCACAUAGAUGUAUGUUUGUCUUCCGUGGUGACUUAGUGUGAUGCCUUUUCUAUUUAGAUGACCUGUCAGUAAACAUGUGUGAGCAUUGUUUUUGUCGUUCAUUUCCUGGCCACCUGUGCUUGAGGUCCUACUUUUCUGACCAAGAGUAUCAUGCAGUCAAAUAUUACAAUGCUGCAUUUUUCUUGCAUUCCUUGACAUCAAGCCUUAUUUUUGUGAAAUUUAGUUGGUUUCGUUUUUUUAACCCCCGAGUCUUGACUUGAAGUUCAUUUUUCACUACAACACAUUUUAGUUGGUUUGUUCUAAAAAACACAAUAAUGACAAAAAAGUAGUUUUAAAUUAGAGAUAAAACAACACUUAAUUAAAAGAUAGUAUAUGCACAAAUAUGUCACGAUGUGAUUGAGUAGUUUUAAAUUAAAUAUAAAACAAUAUUUAAUCAAUUCAUUUCUUCUUGUAUGAUUUGUUACGAGGAGGGCUCUCUUUAAAUCAGACAAAUUCCUCGCCCUUCAACUGUUUUUAACAUACAAUUUGUCCACUCUCUAACUAAUUCUCAUUGUGAAAACUAGUAGUUUUUUGCGUGAACGAUGUUGUCCCUUUAUUUUUUAAAACCAAAAUGAAAUGGAGCCUUUUCCCAUUCUUCAAUGACCCUUGCCAAAUGGGAUCGUAUCAUUUGAAAAGUGAUUUGAAUUCUUAUCAAUAUCUCCCCCUUCAAACACAGUCCUCAAGGAAAAAUACUCUGAAGUGUCAUUUCAGUUUGUUGGCAUAUUCCCAUGUGGCCUCGCCAAAAGACAUCCCUUGUCAUUGUGUCAAGAGUUGAGCAGUUAUAACAUUCUUCUAUUUGACCAUGUGACGGUUGAGGAUGGCUUGUGGAAGAAGAACAUGAAUGAUAAAGUUUUGUGGAUUCGUGGCAGGGACAGUAGGUGUGUGAAUUGGUUUUAGUAUUUAGUAAUAAUAUGUGAAAGACAUCAUGUAUUUCUGCCCUUGGAGGAAGUUGAAGCUUUCAAGCAAAAACUCUAAUAGUGACUUAAAUAUGGAAGAGCUUGAAAUAUUUUGUAUUGAAAGUAUCAAUAAGGUUGUUGCUUGUUAUAUACCCAGUCUUUCAUAUGAAAUAUUUGUUCUAUUUGUUUUUUAUCAA